rnacentral:rRNA from 1 species
GGAGGGAUCAUUACCGAGUUUACAACUCCCAAACCCCUGUGAACAUACCACUUGUUGCCUCGGCGGAUCAGCCCGCUCCCGGUAAAACGGGACGGCCCGCCAGAGGACCCCUAAACUCUGUUUCUAUAUGUAACUUCUGAGUAAAACCAUAAAUAAAUCAAAACUUUCAACAACGGAUCUCUUGGUUCUGGCAUCGAUGAAGAACGCAGCAAAAUGCGAUAAGUAAUGUGAAUUGCAGAAUUCAGUGAAUCAUCGAAUCUUUGAACGCACAUUGCGCCCGCCAGUAUUCUGGCGGGCAUGCCUGUUCGAGCGUCAUUUCAACCCUCAAGCACAGCUUGGUGUUGGGACUCGCGUUAAUUCGCGUUCCUCAAAUUGAUUGGCGGUCACGUCGAGCUUCCAUAGCGUAGUAGUAAAACCCUCGUUACUGGUAAUCGUCGCGGCCACGCCGUUAAACCCCAACUUCUGAAUGUUGACCUCGGAUCAGGUAGGAAUACCCGCUGAACUUAAGCAU